rnacentral:lncRNA from 1 species
CUCUGCCCCACCUGUGGUGACCUGAGAGCAGGAGGGACUCACCAUAUGUGGCUGCACUGGAGACUCGGUAAUGAGACUCCAAUACACUGGGAUCCUGACUGCCCUAACUCAAUCUCCCAACCUGAUGCGGACAGCUGUAAUUGUGCUAAUUAGCUGCAGAACCUGUGAUGUACUUCAGCUGGGCUCAGAGUGAAGAGAGAUUAAAACAAAGCCAAAUGAGUGAGAAAGUGCCAGUGUACUUGCAUUCAACUUACAGGCAAGGAAUAACGCACCGUGUGUGCAGACAUCUUCUCUCAACCAGGGUGAGGGAGGGCACAGCACGGGAACAAAGUGUCCCUGGGUAACAUUGGUUAAUUGGCUUGAUAAAUU